CAUUUAGUUAGUACGUACGUACAGAAGAAGCACCGGCUAACUCCGUGCCAGCAGCCGCGGUAAUACGGAGGGUGCGAGCGUUAAUCGGAAUUACUGGGCGUAAAGCGCAUGCAGGCGGUCGUUAGUUAAGUCAGAUGUAGAAACGGCCCGGGCUUAAACCUCGGAAAUUGCAUUUGAAACUGGCAGGCUAGAGUCUUGUAGAGGGGGGUAGGAAUUUCAGGUGUAGCGGUGAAAUGCGUAGAGAUCUGAAGGAAUACCAGUGGCGAAGGCGGCCCCCUGGACAAAGACUGACGCUCAGAUGCGAAAGCGUGGGGAGCAAACAGGAUUAGAUACCCUGGUAG
rnacentral:rRNA from 1 species